UCAUUACAUUCAUAACAUCACACUGUGACAGACAUCUUCUCUGUGUUGCACAUCAUGCCUAACAUGCCGUUAUGCGGUUGGGACACUGGCCACACAGUUGUACAGACCAAAGUCCUGCAUAAACAAAUGAUUCCUACCCUGAUCUAUCCAAUCAUACACAUGACAACACCUUCACCUUCUCACACAAAGAAAAAAAAGCAGCCUGGUGAGAGCUCAGGGUAGGAAGGAAGGAUGGAG